rnacentral:misc_RNA from 1 species
GUGAAAGGGUAAGAAACAAGGACGAGAAAAGCCUCAAGAAUGCACAUUAAUCAUCAGACCAUGUAUUGUCCAGACCACCCCAGCCGUCUUCCGGCACUCCCAGUGCUUUCCACACAGCUUUUGAAGCAUCAACAAUGUUAUUGUCACAUGGAGGUUGACAAUCAUGGGGUUGAUCACAACCCAUUGUUGAUUCACGCUCAUCCACCAUUAUUGCCGCCACGCUACACCCAUUACCUGUGGGUGAUACUGUGGAAGCACCUACCUUUUUCGUUGAACCAUCCAGUACAUUGUGCUACAAUUGGUAUGUCAUUAGAAAUUUAAAAUGGUGUUUGUUGUCACAUUCUGAUGGACCACAGCCAUCUCCUCCCUUCUUAAAGCUAUUCAAUAACAGUCGAUGUUUUCCUUGUAUUCAAAAGUUCAAUGUUGAUAUUACCAUUUUUCCUUUUUUGAAAAAUUG